GCCUUCGUGGUGUAACGGUAGCACCCUGGGCCUAUAUACCAGAGGUCCGUGGUUCGAUUCCCGGCGAAGGCG
rnacentral:tRNA from 1 species